GGAAGCGUGCCAGAGAGGCCGAAUGGGCCGCACUCGAAAUGCGGUAUGCUCGAAAGAGCAUCGGAGGUUCGAAUCCUCCCGCUUCCG
rfam:Parcubacteria (Azambacteria) bacterium GW2011_GWB1_42_72 TV45_C0012, whole genome shotgun sequence.